rnacentral:ncRNA from 1 species
AAAUCGGGGAGCUUGACCGCUGAGAGGGAUUAAGAUCCGACCCGCUGAACCUGACGGAUAAUGCCGGCGUAGGGAACCUUAUAUAUUU